CAAAUAAACCAUUUUAUUACUGAUCAAUUUACAUAAAACUAAUAUCAAAUAAAUCAGAAAUGAAUUAUCUUUCAAAAGCUGCAAAUUUGAAGAAAAUCCAUUAACAAUAAGUAUGUUAAUUAAUUUAUUAAUUACCAAUUAUUGGUAAUAAUCGAUAUUUUUCACACCUACGCGCGCGCCUAUUUAUGGUGGACACAUGUUUAUGAGGGGGUGUGUUUUCAUUGAAAGAUGCGGUAAACUUGCCAUUUAUGAAUAUUUAUGAGGUAAUAUAAUCCAAUCAGAGAAAAGAAUGAGCUUCCCAAUGGCGUUACUUCCGUAAAAAUUGACCGAGAAAAAAAAAUUGUACAAUGCCGUAAAGUCUGGUUAGAUUUGUUGCCAAACAAUAAGGUCCAUGCCAACACUGUUAAAUGUUUUGUUGGGUGACCAUUAUAUGGCUUUAUUCCCUUGGCCUUUUUGUCAGGAAUUAGGGCUAUCAUCAGAUGGUUUAAAAGGAAAUAAAUUAUGUAAAAUCCCUGAAGGUGCCUUGAAAAAUGGACUCGUGUUAGAAUUAAAAACAUUUGCCAACAAAUCAAAUCUGCCAUGUGCUAGUGUAGUCCAGUGGAUACAAAUACUUCAGCCACAAUCAAAUGCCAGUUCGUAAUCAAACACGGCUUCGUUCCAGAAUGCAAAAAUUCUGGACGUUUAUGGUUCGUUGAAGACCAUGCAAAUAUUCAUGCAGUGUAUGAAAAAUACAAAAAGAUAUACUUUUAAAUGGUGCUGGAGCUAUAAUGUUCUUGGUGUACAAAAAUGUACAUAAAAAUGUAGAUAAAGACAAAGACUGUGAUCAUCAAUCAAAUGCUCAUGUGUAAAUUUAUGAUAUUUAUGUUAUGAACUUAUUGUUAUUUGUAUAUAUUUUAACAUGCUCUUAUUUGCUGGAAAAAGAAGAAUAAGGAUGUGUAUCCUUGUUUAAAUGUGUAAUGACUCUAUAGAAUUACAAUAUUAAAUUAUUUAUUUCAACAUGCAUUUGUAUUUUAAUGCUAGUAUGAAGAUAAUAUUUAUUGUUCGACAUGUGAAUAAAAUAUUAAAAAAUA